rnacentral:rRNA from 1 species
UACGGAGGGUGCAAGCGUUAAUCGGAAUUACUGGGCGUAAAGGGUGCGUAGGUUGUCUGUUAAGUUAUUUGUGAAAUCCCUGGGCUUAACCUGGGCAGGUCAGAUAAUACUGAUAGACUCGAGUAUGGGAGAGGGUAGUGGAAUUUCCGGUGUAGCGGUGAAAUGCGUAGAGAUCCGGAGGAACCCCAGAGGCGAAGGCGGCGUCCUGGCUCGCAUCUGACGCUCAGACACGACAGCAUGGGGAGCGAACGGG